rnacentral:rRNA from 1 species
AGAGUUUGAUUAUGGCUCAGGACGAACGCUGGCGGCGUGCUUAACACAUGCAAGUCGAACGGGAGUAUUGAAGAAGCUUGCUUUAGAGAUACUUUAGUGGCGGACGGGUGAGUAACGCGUGAGGGGCUGUCCUAUGCAGGGGGACAACAGCUGGAAACGGCUGCUAAUACCCCAUAAGCCGAGAGGUAAAAGGAUCAAUCCGGCAGAGGAGGUACUCGCGUCCUAUCAGCUAGUAGGUGAGGUAACGGCUCACCUAGGCGAAGACGGGUAGCCGGCCUGAGAGGGCGAACGGCCACACUGGAACUGAGAUACGGUCCAGACUCCUACGGGAGGCAGCAGUGGGGAAUAUUGGGCAAUGGGGGAAAAACCCCCUGACCCAGCGACGCCGCGUGGGUGAAGAAAUCCUUCGGGAUGUAAAGCCCUGUUGUAUGGGAAGAGCGGAAGACGGUACCAUACGAGGAAGCCCCGGCAAACUACGUGCCAGCCGCGGC